rnacentral:tRNA from 1 species
GCCCGCGUGGCGCAACUGAAUAGCGCAUCGGAUUUCGGCUCCGAGGGUUGGGGGUUUGAAUCCCUCCGCGGGUACAA